rnacentral:rRNA from 1 species
GAUGAACGCUGACAGAAUGCUUAACACAUGCAAGUCAACUUGAACUUCGGUUUGGGUGGCGGACGGGUGAGUAACGCGUAAAGAACUUGCCUCACAGAUAGGGACAACAUUUGGAAACGAAUGCUAAUACCUGAUAUUAUGAUUAUAUGGCAUCGUAUAAUUAUGAAAGCUAUAUGCGCUGUGAGAGAGCUUUGCGUCCCAUUAGCUAGUUGGAGAGGUAACGGCUCACCAAGGCGAUGAUGGGUAGCCGGCCUGAGAGGGUGAUCGGCCACAAGGGGACUGAGACACGGCCCUUACUCCUACGGGAGGCAGCAGUGGGGAAUAUUGGACAAUGGACCAAGAGUCUGAUCCAGCAAUUCUGUGUGCACGAUGAAGUUUUUCGGAAUGUAAAGGGCUUUCAGUUGGGAAGAAAAAAAUGACGGUACCAACAGAAGAAGUGACGGCUAAAUACGUG